rnacentral:rRNA from 1 species
UGAGGAAUAUUGCUCAAUGGACGAAAGUCUGAAGCAGCAACGCCGCGUGAGGGAUGAAGGUGCUCUGCAUCGUAAACCUCUGUAGUCGGGGAAAAAUGGCGGGUUACUACCCGUUUGAUGGUACCCGAAAAGUAAGGAUCGGCUAACUACGUGCCAGCAGCCGCGGUAAUACGUAGGAUCCAAGCGUUGUCCGGAUUUACUGGGUGUAAAGGGUGCGCAGGCGGACUGAUAAGUCAGAGGUGAAAUCCCAUCGCUCAACGAUGGACCUGCCUUUGAUACUGUUGGUCUUGAAUUAGGGAGAGAUUCGUGGAAUUCCGAGUGUAGCAGUGAAAUGUGUAGAUAUUCGGAAGAACACCAGUGGCGAAGGCAGCGAAUUGGCCCUAUAUUGACGCUCAGGCACGAAAGCAUGGGGAUCAAACAGGAUUAGAUACCCCGGUAGUCC